GGUUUUGUGGUGUAGCGGUUAGCACUCCGGAUUUUGAGAACAAGAUUCCGGCAACCCCGGUUCGAUUCCGGGCAAGACCU